GGGAACAUACCUUUUGGUUCGGAACAACACAGGGAAACUUGUGCUAAUACCGGAUAAGCCCUUACGGGGAAAGAUUUAUCGCCGAAAGAUUGGCCCGCGUCUGAUUAGCUAGUUGGUGAGGUAACGGCUCACCAAGGCGACGAUCAGUAGCUGGUCUGAGAGGAUGAUCAGCCACAUUGGGACUGAGACACGGCCCAAACUCCUACGGGAGGCAGCAGUGGGGAAUAUUGGACAAUGGGCGAAAGCCUGAUCCAGCCAUGCCGCGUGAGUGAUGAAGGCCCUAGGGUUGUAAAGCUCUUUUGUGCGGGAAGAUAAUGACGGUACCGCAAGAAUAAGCCCCGGCUAACUUCGUGCCAGCAGCCGCGGUAAUACGAAGGGGGCUAGCGUUGCUCGGAAUCACUGGGCGUAAAGGGUGCGUAGGCGGGUUUUUAAGUCAGAGGUGAAAUCCUGGAGCUCAACUCCAGAACUGCCUUUGAUACUGAGAAUCUUGAGUUCGGGAGAGGUGAGUGGAACUGCGAGU
rnacentral:rRNA from 1 species